UACGGGGGGAGCAAGCGUUGUUCGGAUUUACUGGGCGUAAAGGGCGCGUAGGCGGUCGUGACAAGUCACUUGUGAAAUCUCCGGGCUUAACUCGGAACGGUCAAGUGAUACUGUCGGACUAGAGUACAGAAGGGGCAACUGGAAUUCUCGGUGUAGCGGUGAAAUGCGUAGAUAUCGAGAGGAACACCUGCGGCGAAGGCGGGUUGCUGGGCUGAUACUGACGCUGAGGCGCGAAAGCCAGGGGAGGCGAAACGGG
rnacentral:rRNA from 1 species